AUGAAGUACCAUACCAACAAGAACACGUCGAUGCAUAGCAUUAAACGCUUGCCGAAAAGAGUCCACAGCUCCUUGCACUCAAGCAUUAUAUUGUCUGACCUCCUAAGGGUCGUUGAGGAGUUGGCAUAUAAUAGCAGCGACACAAAUGCUAUUUCAGAUCGAUGUUUCAGUAAAUGUCAGAGGAUGUUACAUUAA
rnacentral:rRNA from 1 species